CCUACGGGGUGCACCAGUGGGGAAUAUUGGGCAAUGGGCGCAAGCCUGACCCAGCAACGCCGUGUGAGGGAUGAAGGUCUUCGGAUUGUAAACCUCUGUCAGAAGGGAAGAAGUGCGUAAGGUCUAAUAGGCCUUAUGUUUGACGGUACCUUCAGAGGAAGCACCGGCUAACUCCGUGCCAGCAGCCGCGGUAAUACGGAGGGUGCAAGCGUUAUUCGGAAUCACUGGGCGUAAAGCGUGCGUAGGCGGCGAGGUAAGUCAGGUGUGAAAUCCCACGGCUCAACCGUGGAACUGCACUUGAAACUGCUUUGCUUGAGUACUGUAGGGGAUGGCGGAAUUCCUGGCGUAGGAGUGAAAUCCGUAGAUAUCAGGGGGAACACCGGUGGCGAAGGCGGCCAUCUGGACAGUAACUGACGCUGGGGUACGAAAGCGUGGGGAGCAAACAGGAUUAGAUAC
rnacentral:rRNA from 1 species